rnacentral:rRNA from 1 species
GAUGAACGCUAGCGGCAGGCCUAAUACAUGCAAGUCGGACGGGAUUUGGGAGCUUGCUCCCAAUGAGAGUGGCGCACGGGUGCGUAACACGUAUGUAACCUACCUUUAUCAGGGGGAUAGCCUCUCGAAAGAGAGAUUAACACCGCAUAACAUCAUUGGAUAGCAUUAUUUAAUGAUCAAAUAUUUAUAGGAUAAAGAUGGGCAUGCGGAACAUUAGCUAGAUGGCGGGGUAACGGCCCACCAUGGCUAUGAUGUUUAGGGGA